CCUACGGGAGGCAGCAGUGGGGAAUAUUGGGCAAUGGGCGCAAGCCUGACCCAGCAACGCCGCGUGAAGGAAGAAGGCUUUCGGGUUGUAAACUUCUUUUCUGAGGGACGAUGAUAGUGACGGUACCUUAGGAAUAAGCCGCGGCUAACUACGUGCCAGCCGCCGCGGUAAUACGGAGGAGGCAAGUGUUAUCCGGAAUGACUGGGCGUAAAGGGUGCGUAGGUGGUUUGACAAGUUAGUAGCGCAACUCCGGAGCUAAACUUCGGAACUACUACUAAAACUGUUGGACUUGAGUGCAGGAGGGGUAGUCGGAAUUCCUAGUGUAGCGGUGGAAUGCGUAGAGAUUAGGAGGAACACCAGUGGCGAAGGCGGAUUGCUAGACUGUAACUGACACUGAGGCACGAAAGCGUGGGGAGCAAACAGGAUUAGAUACCCCUGUAGUC
rnacentral:rRNA from 1 species